GACAACCCUAGAGAUAGGGCUUCCCCUUCGGGGGCAGAGUGACAGGUGGUGCAUGGUUGUCGUCAGCUCGUGUCGUGAGAUGUUGGGUUAAGUCCCGCAACGAGCGCAACCCUUGAUCUUAGUUGCCAGCAUUCAGUUGGGCACUCUAAGGUGACUGCCGGUGACAAACCGGAGGAAGGUGGGGAUGACGUCAAAUCAUCAUGCCCCUUAUGACCUGGGCUACACACGUGCUACAAUGGGCAGAACAAAGGGCAGCGAAGCCGCGAGGCUAAGCCAAUCCCACAAAUCUGUUCUCAGUUCGGAUCGCUGUCUGCAACUCGACUGCGUGAAGCUGGAAUCGCUAGUAAUCGCGGAUCAGCAUGCCGCGGUGAAUACGUUCCCGGGCCUUGUACACACCGCCCGUCACACCACGAGAGUUUGUAACACCCGAAGUCGGUGAGGUAACCUUUUGGAGCCAGCCGCCGAAGG
rnacentral:rRNA from 1 species